rnacentral:rRNA from 1 species
CAGUAGCCGCGGGAAAACGGAGGGGGCUAGCGUUGUUCGGAAUUACUGGGCGUAAAGCGCACGUAGGCGGCUUGGUAAGUUAGAGGUGAAAGCCCGGAGCUCAACUCCGGAAUUGCCUUUAAGACUGCCGAGCUAGUAGGUGAGAGAGGUAAGUGGAAUUCCGAGUGUAGAGGUGAAAUUCGUAGAUAUUCGGAAGAACACCAGUGGCGAAGGCGGCUUACUGGAUCAUUCUAGACGCUGAGGUGCGAAAGCGUGGGGAGCAAACAGGAUUAGAUACCCCGGUAGUCCCUGUCUCUUAUAC